UACAUGUGGGGCAAGCGUUGUUCGGAAUUACUGGGCAUAAAGGGUGCGUAGGUGGUCUGUUAAGUCAGUGGUGAAAUCCCGCGGCCCAACCUGGGAAUUGCAGUCGAAACUACUCGGCUAGAGUAUGGGAGAGGACAGUGGAAUUCCCGGUGUAGCGGUGAAAUGCGUAGAUAUCGGGAGGAACAUCAGUGGCGAAGGCGGCUGUCUGGCCCAAUACUGACACUCAGGUGCGACAGCGUGGGGAGCAAACAGG
rnacentral:rRNA from 1 species